GACGAACGCUGGCGGCGUGCUUAACACAUGCAAGUCGAACGGAAAGGCGCGGCUUUUGUGGGGUGCUCGAGUGGCGAACGGGUGAGUAACACGUGAGUAACCUGCCCUUGGCUUUGGGGUAACUUCAGGAAACUGGGGCUAAUACCGGAUAGGAGCUCCUGCUGCAUGGUGGGGGGUGGAAAGUUUCGGCGGUUGGGGAUGGACUCGCGGCUUAUCAGCUUGUUGGUGGGGUAGUGGCUUACCAAGGCUUUGGCGGGUAGCCGGCCUGAGAGGGUGACCGGCCACAUUGGGACUGAGAUACGGCCCAGACUCCUACGGGAGGCAGCAGUGGGGAAUAUUGCACAAUGGGCGGAAGCCUGAUGCAGCAACGCCGCGUGCGGGAUGACGGCUUUCGGGUUGUAAACCGCUUUCGCCUGUGACGAAGCGUGAGUGACGGUAAUGGGUAAAGAAGCACCGGCUAACUACGUG
rnacentral:rRNA from 1 species